rnacentral:rRNA from 1 species
UUGGAUACUGCAUCUCUCUGGAGGUAUGGUAGAGGUAGGYGGAAUGUCGUCGUGUAGCGGUGAAAUGCGUAGAUAUBAUACAGAACGCCRAUGGCGAAGGCAGCUUACUGGGCCAUUACUGACGCUGAGGCACGAAAGCGUGGGGAGCGAACAGGAUUAGAUACCCUGGUAGUCCACGCCGUAAACGAUGUUCACUCGCUGUCUGCGAUACACAGUAAGCGGCUAASCGAAAGCAUUAAGUGAACCACCUGGGGAGUACGAUCGCACGGUUGAAACUCACAGGAA